rnacentral:rRNA from 1 species
UACGGAGGGUGCGAGCGUUGUUCGGAAUCACUGGGCGUAAAGCGCGUGUAGGCGGCCUCUUAAGUCCGAUGUGAAAGCCCGGGGCUCACCCCCGGAAGUGCAUCGAAUACUGGGAGACUCGAGUACCGGAGAGGAAGGUGGAAUUCCUGGUGUAGCGGUGAAAUGCGUAGAUAUCAGGAGGAACACCGGUGGCGAAGGCGGCCUUCUGGACGGAUACUGACGCUGAGACGCGAAAGCGUGGGGAGCAAACAGG